GGGGGGAAUAUUUGUUUGUGGUUUUAGAUUAUAUUAGGGGUGUCUUUGUAAGACUUGUACCAGUUCGAUGUGUUGUUGUCUCAGAGUUGUGGACCUGCUCUACGUUUGACCCACCCUUAAAGCAUGUUUUGAGGUCCAUAAUUUUGUUUUUUAUAUUCUCAUUAUUAAGUAUAACUCAGUGUUUGUUUUAAAUUUUAAUAUAUUUCACAUUUAAGUUCUCCUCUCUCAUGGAUCUGUAGCAUUGGUCAAUAGCAAUGUUGGGCAGCCUACAUAUGGAGCUGCAGAAGUGCUGUGGUGGCUUGAUAUUGAAACUGAAAUUAUUUUGGAUCAAUUUAAUGUUUGUCGAAGUUUCACUACUAUAUGUCAAGGCACUUUAAAUGCACUGGUAAUUUAUUAGUGGAUAAGUUCUCCUUUUAAUGCUCAGUUUUCUUUGUAUGGAUACUUUAUUUAAUUUGAAGGUUAAAUAAAUAUUCACAGAGACUGUCUCUCUUGUGGUUUAUGUAAAGUAUUGAUAGUAGUCUUGAGAGAUACCCUUAUGACUUGGUAUUGUGCUUAUGGCUAUCUGCUCAUUGUUUGGUACCAUUUUGGAUAAAAAUUUGUAAGGCAUCCGCAAUCAAAGUGGAAGUUUCUUAGAGGCAAAAAUGUUACUUUUUGUCCUUCAAAAUUUAAGAUCACGUCUGUGAGCUCUUUUGAGAAUCUAUUUUGCUUAAAAAUAUGUCAAAUUAUCAUGAUGGUGUAGGACACAAUGCUGCUUUAUGCAAUCAAUAACUACCGGAUCCAUGUGUGUUGAGAUGUUCUAUGCAAUUGGAGAAAUGAUUUGGCUUGAGUGAUGCAUUUGAAACGAAAGGAAUUGCAUACUUUUUGAGGAAGUUGACUUUUUUUCUUUUUUUUUUGGUUACAUCAGAAAGGAGAGGAAGUUGACCUUUGAAACCAUGAUUUUGUACUGGAAAAUGAAACGAAAUUAAUUGUGUGUAAAGUUCUUCCUAGACUUGCGCCUCUGAUAGUAAAUGAAGGGUCAUGCUAUUGAUUUUUAAUACAUUUCAAUACAGUUUUAACGAUAUUACAUUAGCAUUUUCCAGAAAUUAAUAUCUAAUUUUUGCUCCCCCUUGCUUUGCUUAUGAUAUAGCCUAGGCUGAUGAGAGACUCCUGUAGCUCUGGCAAUUUGGUGAACUCGUUGUUCCCCUUGGGGGCACCAGCUAAUUGCAGAAAGCUUUCUGUUUUUUAAAACAUCUAGAUUGAGUUUCCAUUGGUCACUGCAAAAUACAGAUGUUCCCUUUACCAAGCAAUGAUGGAUUGGAUUUAAGUGCUUGAUAUUAUUUCUCUUUCUAGUUCUAUCAAUAUUGGUGACAGAUUGAUUUUGUCCUUUGCUGACCACAUCUCAGGAGCUCACAGUUUGGUCAAUGAUUAUUGGUGGCAUCAGAUGCCUGGUAUAAAAGUUACAACCCUUCACCAAAAUACAGUCUUUAAGUUACUUUUUAUGCUUGUUCUUUUACUGUCAUCUCAAAAACCUGAAAGUUAUCUUGUUGCUGUUGCUGCUUUUAACGGUGGUGUGCUUUCAUGGAUGUAUAUUGCUUCUGACUUUAUCAUUAGGUGCGCUACAUGGGAUCUUGAAUUUUUCAUAACCUGAUGUCUGUUUUCCUUUCUUGAUUAUCAGGAUCAAGUAGCAUUUUAUAGGAACUUCUAGCUCUUCAUCUUGGUAGCUGUGGGAGAUACAUUAAAAUAUGUCUACAGGUUUUCCUUUAUGGUUACGUUCCUUCAUUAGCUAUUCUUAGAUGCAGCUGUAUUAAAUUUAUUCAGAGCAGAUUCUCUUUGUGAUGGUUUUGCAUGGAUAUUUAUGAACCUCGUUUUGUUUUUAUUUUUAUUUUUAUUUUUUUUUUGGGGGGAGGGGGGACUCAGAGAUAUACAACGUCAAAUCUUGGAAGUUUAACGUCAAAUCUUGGAAGCUUGCAGAUCUUAUGAUCCUUGAUCUGAUCCUGUAAACCUAUCCAACGUUCCAUCGUAGGACUCCGACUUUGACAACCAAAUGAGCCGGUGGGCCAGAUCAGGUUGAGAUGAAAAGGUGUGGUGAAAUUUUUUUAAUGGCUGACAUGAGACUCAGUGCAAUCCCAAGUCCAAGAUGUGUCUGUUGAUGGCAAGGCAUUGUACUGCAGGGAUGCAGUUGAUUACUUGGUAACCCCUAUUAAGUGCUGAAAAUUUAAAAUUGGAGUGGUUUCUGCUGCAUUUUAUGGCACGUUAAAUUACCACUUAAGUUAAUUUUUUUUUUUCUUUUUGUUUUUUUGAAAAUGGUAUCAAUUUUUACUUAUCGCCAGGCUGUUGUGGUAGGUAGUUCCUAAAUUAAAUUGACAAAUUUAUCAUCAAGUUUAAAGUCUUUUAUGCGACUAGGACUAAAAUUUUCAGUUUUAUUUCAUUUUAGACGUGUUUUUUGCUUGUUGCCUUAUUGACAGUCUGGUAAAGAAUGCUUCCGCCAGCUGAUUUAGUUUCUACCCAUUUGAAUUCAGAAGAAAGAAGUAACAGAAGAGUCAUUUUGGAGCCAAUCGGAGGUAGAAAUUAGUAGGGUGAAAUUAUGGUCCCCUUGAACUACCAGGAUGAGAAGGGUCCUCUUUCUUAAGAAUGCAUUGCUAUUAUAGUGUUUCUGUAACAGACAGGAAUCACUAGGGGUGGAUUUUUUACUUCCACUUUGAACCUAUGAAACACGGAUACUUCAAAAAGGGAGACGUAUCCGUAUCGGAUACUUAUUGGAUACCUUGGAUACACGCGGAUAUGUAUCGGAUACUUCAUUAAUUUUUUUAUUAACUUUAGAGUAUCGGAUAUUUAAUUUUGGACUGUCGGAUACUUAAUUUUGAAGUAUCGGAUACUCGAAGUCACAUAUUACUUUUAAUACUUUGUUUGGUUUUUUGAUAAGAGGAAUAUAGUGAGAGUUAAAGUAA